GCAACGAUGCGUAGCCGACCUGAGAGGGUGAUCGGCCACACUGGAACUGAGACACGGUCCAGACUCCUACGGGAGGCAGCAGUAGGGAAUCUUCCGCAAUGGGCGAAAGCCUGACGGAGCAACGCCGCGUGAGUGAUGAAGGUCUUCGGAUCGUAAAACUCUGUUAUUAGGGAAGAACAAAUGUGUAAGUAACUAUGCACGUCUUGACGGUACCUAAUCAGAAAGCCACGGCUAACUACGUGCCAGCAGCCGCGGUAAUACGUAGGUGGCAAGCGUUAUCCGGAAUUAUUGGGCGUAAAGCGCGCGUAGGCGGUUUUUUAAGUCUGAUGUGAAAGCCCACGGCUCAACCGUGGAGGGUCAUUGGAAACUGGAAAACUUGAGUGCAGAAGAGGAAAGUGG
rnacentral:rRNA from 1 species